AUGGAGUCUUGCUCUGCUGCCCAGGCUGGUGUGCAAUGGCACAAUCUCAGCUCACUGUGACCUCAGCUUCCCAGAUUCAAACGAUUCUCCCCCCUCAGCCUCCCAAUCCCCCACCCCCCACCCCUGCGAGUAGCUGGGAUUACAGGCACCCGCCAUCGUGCCUGGCUAAUUUUUGUAUUUUUGUAGAGACAAGGUUUCACCAUGUUGGCCAGGCUGGUCUUGAACUGACCUCAGGUGAUCCACCCACCUUCGCCUCCCAAGUGGUGAAAUAACAGGUGUGAGCCACCGCUCCCCAACUCAACCCAAAUUUUUAAAAUGGGCAGAGUAUUUGAACAGGUUCCCCAACAAAGAAGAUACACAUGGCAAAUAAGCGCACAAAUGAAUGCUCAACACCACUAGUAAUUAAGGGAAUUCAAUUACUACUUACUGGAGGCUAAGAGACCAGUUAGGGGGUUAUGAGAGAAAUUGUGGAUUAAAAUUAUAUAUGAUAGAAGUGGUUGGGAUGGAGAGGAGAGGAUAUGAGGAAUAUCGAGGAGAUAAAAUUGCAAAAACUUCACACUUGGUUGGAAGUGGAAGCUGACGUGUAAGAGAAUCAGCAAUGAUUCUCAGUUUUCCAAUUUGAGCAAAGGAGUGGAGGCCACUGAUAGACUCUGAGGUAAUGAAACACAAGGUGGAGCAGAUCUAGGCGGGUAUGGAGGAAGAGAUGUGAUCAUUGAAGUAUUUCCUUUGUUGUUGUGUUGUUGGAAUAUUGUAAGUCAAAUCCCUGACAUCAUGUUGUUCCAUCUCUACACACUUUAACAUGUAUCACUAAAAGUAGGGACACUUUCUCCCAUAAUCACAGUGCUGUGAUCCCUCCUGAGGAUAUGCUCAAUGAUUCUGAUUAUCAUCCCAUACAUAGUCCACAGUCAUAUAUACUUGAUUAUCACGAGUAUCUCUCUUUUUGCAGUCUACUUAUUGGAAUCAAAAUCCUGACAAGGUCCACCCUGCACACCACAUUCUCACAAAGGUCCUCUCGUCCUGAGCAGUCCUCCCUGCCACUGAUUUGUUGUCCUUCACAAUGUCCCACAAUCUGCGCCUGUCUUUGUUCUCCUUCGUGGUGCUUCUUAACUUCUUCUAUGCCCUGAAUUUCCUAUAAUGGGGAAGGAGCUCUAAAGCCUGGUCAUAGGAACACUUCAUGAACAGUACUGUGCAUGGCACACGAUCUCUAGCCAUCCCACUUGUCACGCUAAAAUCGAUGACUCGCUUCUGGUGGUGUCAGCCUGACUCUUUGGACAUGCUGAGUAACCAGAGUGAGAAAGGAAGAGGGCUUCAACCAGAGGAAGAGGAGCAGAGAAAACAGGGAAGGAGAAUUC
rnacentral:lncRNA from 1 species